UUGUCAUAGAAGCAGCUGUCAACAAAAGGCCGGGCGAUCACAAUGGAUACAGACGCGCUUUGUGUCGUACUUGCUGUCUUCUGUGCGGAGAAGGAGAAGAAAAAGAAGAAGAAACGAGUGUGGACUCGCUCAUGGGUAUCACGAAGAGGAGAAUACGGGAUGUCUGUCCUUCAAAAAGAACUGGAGGUAUGUUUUAGCCUUUAUCAAGAACCCUUACUGCUAGCUGUUAACUUGACGUUAACACCCAGGCUCGCGACGAAAAGUUUUCAAAGUAGCUACUUAACGUUACUAUUUGUCGAGUAGGCCUAGCCUAGGCUACAUAAAGAUAUACUGUAGCGAUGUCUAAUGUCUAUCCCGGCAAUAACAAGAUUAAGUCAGUUAAACAUGUUAUGUAUAGCAGGCGCUUUUAUCCAAAGUAUCCACGUGUUAGUGGUGUUAAUGGCGUAAUAGCCCACCAUAAACUAUGAUUAGUCUACAUCAUAAGUGGGCAUCAACGUCUACACAGCCAUAGGAUCAAGGACAGGUAGCAAAGAAUCUGCCGGACAUGUUCGCUCAUGUGCAGCCCCUUAACGUACACAAGGCCUACAUGUACAUUAAACAUAAAGCCUGUACUUGUAAUUAAAAUCGAAAAUCCCUAUUCAGUAAAACAUGUUGAAAUAUGUUUCCUUUUAUUUGUAGGAGACUGACAGAAGGGGGUUCCGUGAGCUUCUCAGGAUGGAUGUGGAUGACUUCAAUUUCCUCCUCGACAAGGUCCAACCUCUUAUCCAGAGGCAGGAUACAACGCUGAGGAAGGCCAUCACUGCCAGACAGCGGCUGUCUGUUACUCUGCGAUUCCUUGCAACCGGUGAGUCAUUUAGGUCUCUGUGCUUCCAGUACCGCAUUGGAAGAUCAACAAUUGGCCAGAUUGUGACGGAGACCUGUGAGGCGUUAUGUGUGGUCUUGAAGGAUCACCUGAAGACACCAACAACAGAGGCGGGUUGGCGAGAAGUGGCAAGGGGAUUUCAAGAUAGGUGUCAA